UUCCCAAAACUAGCUUACUGCGCA
rnacentral:siRNA from 1 species